rnacentral:rRNA from 1 species
GACGAACGCUGGCGGCGUGCUUAACACAUGCCAGUCGAACGGAAAGGCCCUGCUUUUGUGGGGUGCUCGAGUGGCGACCGGGUGAGUAACACGUGAGUAACCUGCCCCUGACUUUGGGAUAACUUCAGGAAACUGGGGCUAAUACCGGAUAGGAGCUCCUGCUGCAUGGUGGGGGUUGGAAAGUUUCGGCGGUUGGGGAUGGACUCGCGGCUUAUCAGCUUGUUGGUGGGGUAGUGGCUUACCAAGGCUUUGACGGGUAGCCGGCCUGAGAGGGUGACCGGCCACACUGCGCCUGAGCUACGGCCCAGACUCCUACGGGAGGCAGCAGUGGGGAAUAUUGCACAAUGGGCGGAGGCCUGAUGCAGCAACGCCGCGUGCGGGAUGACGGCCUUCGGGUUGUAAACCGCUUUCGCCUGUGACGAAGCGUGAGUGACGGUAAUGGGUGAAGAAGCACCGGCUAACUACGUG